GGGCACCACCAGGGGGUGCUGCUGCGGGCUAUUUGACUCAACACGGGAAAUCUCACCAGGCCCGGACACCGGAAGGAUUGACAGAUUAACAGCUCUUUCUUGAUUCGGUGGGUGGUGGUGCAUGGCCGUUCUUAGUUGGUGGAGCGAUUUGUCUGGUUAAUUCCGGUAACGAACGAGACUCUAGCCUGCUAAAUAGGCGUCGCCAUUUAGGUGUGCUCGACUUCGGUCGUGCAACUCACUGGCGGCGUAUUAAAAUUCUUCUUAGAGGGACCGGCGGCUUCGAGCCGCACGAGAUUGAGCAAUAACAGGUCUGUGAUGCCCUUAGAUGUCCUGGGCCGCACGCGCGCUACACUGAAGGAAUCA
rnacentral:rRNA from 1 species